CCUUUGUACACACCGCCCGUCGCUACUACCGAUUGAAUGUAUCAGCGAGGCCUUGGGAUUGGUAUCGAGGAGCCGGCAACGGCACCUUGUCGCUGAGAACUUGGUCAAACUCGUAUGUUUAGAGG
rnacentral:rRNA from 1 species